AGAUGAAUGCCUGAGUAAAGGGCUAUCCUGAUAGGGUAAAUUACGCAUUUUUAUGCUUUAUCUU
rnacentral:tRNA from 1 species